GACGAACGCUGGCGGCGUGCUUAACACAUGCAAGUCGAACGAAGUGGCGAACGGGUGAGUAACGCGUAAUCAACCUGCCCUUCAGAGGGGUACAACAGUUGGAAACGACUGCUAAUACCGCAUACUGAAGGAGGGGAUUGCGUCUGAUUAGCUAGUUGGAGGGGUAACGGCCCACCAAGGCGAUGGUCAGUAGCCGGGCUGAGAGGGUGAACGGCCACAGUGGGAAUGGGAAACGGCCCAGACUCCUACGGGAGGAAGCAGGGGGGAAUCUUCCGAAAUGGACGAAAGGCUGACGGAGCAACGCCGCGGGAGUGAUGACGGCCUUCGGGUUGUAAAGCUAUGUUAAUCGGGACGCGGUACCGGAAUAGAAAGCCACGGCUAACUACGUGCCAGCAGCCGCGGUAAUUC
rnacentral:rRNA from 1 species